AUUGAACGCUGGCGGCAUGCUUUACACAUGCAAGUCGAACGGUAACAGGCCUUCGGGUGCUGACGAGUGGCGAACGGGUGAGUAAUGCAUCGGAACGUGCCCAGAGGUGGGGGAUAACGCAGCGAAAGCUGUGCUAAUACCGCAUGUGAUCUGAGGAUGAAAGCGGGGGACCAGGCAGCAAUGUUUGGCCUCGCGCCUUUGGAGCGGCCGAUGUCAGAUUAGGUAGUUGGUGGGGUAAAGGCCUACCAAGCCGACGAUCUGUAGCUGGUCUGAGAGGACGACCAGCCACACUGGGACUGAGACACGGCCCAGACUCCUACGGGAGGCAGCAGUGGGGAAUUUUGGACAAUGGGCGCAAGCCUGAUCCAGCAAAGCCGCGUGCGGGAAGAAGGCCUUCGGGUUGUAAACCGCUUUUGUACGGAACGAAAAGACUCUGGCUAAUACCUGGGGCUGAUGACGGUACCGUAAGAAUAAGCACCGGCUAACUACGUG
rnacentral:rRNA from 1 species